rnacentral:rRNA from 1 species
GACGAACGCUGGCGGCGCGCUUAACACAUGCAAGUCGAGCGAGAACCAGGCCUUCGGGCCUGGGGAAAGCGGCGAACGGGUGAGUAACACGUGAGUAAUCUGCCCUCGGUACCGGGAUAGCCCGCGGAAACGCGGAUUAAUACCGGAUGGCCCACUUGUCCUUUGGGGUGGUUGGAAAAGGUAGCUUUGGCCUCCGACCGAGGAGGAGCUCGCGGCGGAUUAGCUUGUUGGUGGGGUAAUGGCCUACCAAGGCGACGAUCCGUAGCUGGUCUGAGAGGACGAUCAGCCACACUGGGACUGAGACACGGCCCAGACUCCUACGGGAGGCAGCAGUGGGGAAUCUUGCGCAAUGGGCGAAAGCCUGACGCAGCGACGCCGCGUGCGGGAAGAAGGCCUUAGGGUUGUAAACCGCUUUCAGGAGGGACGAAGCCACUCGGGUUAA